AACUUCCUGUGGCUCCACCUCAGUGGGCAGGCUGGUUGGAGUUUCUCCAAGGACCCCCUCCCACCUGGCUGUCUCACCUGCAGUACCCAGCCUGCAACCACGAAGACAAAAACCACAGUCAGGACAGCAGAGCAGGAAACUAGAAGGACCCUGGUUGAAGGACACUCCAUGGCUUCCUCAAGUCUCUGCCCUGCUCUGCGAACAUGUGGACUUUUUAUUCAGCUAGAAAAACUAAAGCCCCAUUUGGUGAAGCCUCUGCAGUUGGCUUUUUGUUACAUGUAGCCCAAAGUGAUCCUAACUGGUACAUCGUGGACACCAUAGAAAGCCCUAUCAGAGGGGAAUCUAGAGCCAACGGAACCUAAGGAGAGAAAAGGAGGCGGAGAAGACGAGAAAUUGGCUGUGUCACAGAGGCAACUGCACGGCAAAACAUCUCUGUACAUAAAUCGCUGGGCAGAGCCGCCUCUCCUGUCCCUUCUCAUUUUUUGUUUACUUACGAGCAGCUGAGCAGCCCAAGCUUUCCCCUACACCGACAGGGCGGAUUCUACAGUCUUCAGCCCUUUUGCUAACAUUCCCUGACUGCUUUCUCCUGGUGGCUCAAACAGCAACAGAGACAACGGCUAAACCAGAUAAGCUACAGAGAUUUGUUUUUUUCCGUAACCAAAAGUUUCUGGGGACAUAAGAUCAUUGCAAGUAGUCAUGUGUAGUCUUUUGGCUCAAAUGUAAAAUGCUAAGUUACGCAUUAGUUGUUGCAUAAAUUUGCAUAUUGAUAUAUACAAUCCCAACGACUUUAAUAGCAUCACAGAUUAGCAGAGACAGAUGCACACAGACACACACAGCCUGACAUUCAGAGACUCCCAGGCAGAGACAAACAGCCCAAGGAAAAAGUGGGGAUGGCUCACCAGGAGCAAGGACGAUUGGAAGGAACACAGGUCCUGGUAUAUUUCUCUUCUAGAGCCAGCGGUUUUUAAACUUCAUCUUGCAUCAGAAUCACCUGGGAAACUUUACAAAAACUUGUAAUGUCCAGUGAUUCAAAUUAAAUGGGGUAAGGUGGAGCCAGUAUUUCUGUACUGUUUAAAAGCUCCUAGGAUGAUUCCGAUGAAUCAGAGGAAGACUACAAAUCACCAUUCCAGACCCUAAACCAUUGGCUUUAAAAUCACUUUAGAUCACCUGCAGCACUUUUUAAAAGUACUAUGCUGAGGCCCUACUUAAGACCAAAUAUAUCAGAAUAUCUGGGAGCAAAGCCAACACAUUGAAUAUUUAUUGGAAGUUCUUCAGGUGAUUGUAACAUACAGCCAAAGCCAAAAAUCACUGAUCAGUCUAGAUUUAUGAGUUUAUGCCAAACUGCACAACAUGGAUUUUACUGAAACAUCAGUGGCACAAAAGUGGUAUAAAAGGUUCCAUUACACACCACACAGCAAAGCUUCUUAAAUAUUCCUUUUUUAACAUCUCUGCUUUUUCCAAAGUUCCUUUUACUAAAGAUUUAUAUCUAUUCUGUCUCUUUCCCAGAACUCCUUUUUAUUUCAGUGUCAUCUCAAGCCACGUUUCCCCAUAGUGGGGCCCUUUUCCCCAUACUGCUUCUCAAAUCAAACUCAGCAAAAUAUUGUUCAUUCCUCACUCAUACAUCAAGAGCCUCAAGGUAUCCUUUCAAAAUUAGGGAUAAAUUAUUGACGCAUUAAGUUUUGGAGAUAUAUAAGACUAGAAGGAAGAUGGAAUCUCUAGACCAAAACAGAGAUAACUUUCAGACAGAGCUAAGAAUACCUUGUGACGGAAGAGAAUCUCUCAUCUAUGAAAAUUGACAGAUUACACAAGGGUGGAUUGGCUGUCUAAAAGAUGCUCCUUGCAUCUGCUUUGUCCUCUCUAUUUCCACGAUAAUCCCCACAUCAGACCCUCUUAAUCCUUCCAUGGACAACUCUUAACAGCUUUCUAGCUAGAUUCCCAUUACCAUACAUUUUGGGGUCCUACUCCUAUCAUUGUGUUAGGCAAGUACAAAUCCAAGAGGUUUUUCAGGUUUUAUUAAACUUUAAUAGAAGUUCCCAAACUUUUUGUGGUCAUGGGUCCAUUUGAGGGUUUGAUAAGAAGUACAGAUCCUUUUUUUUAUUUUUUAUUUUUCUGAGACAGCAUCUCACUCCCAUCACCCAGGCUGGAGUGCAGAGGCAGGAUCAGGGCUCACUGCAGACUCAACUUUCCUGGCUCAGGUGAUCCUCCUGUUUCAUCCUCCCAUCUCAGCCUCCUGAGUAGCUGGGACUACAGGUGUGUGUCA
rnacentral:lncRNA from 10 species